ACACAGCUGUAUAAUACGUUUAUAUGCACGCGUUGCUGUAAGUGCUGUUGCGCGUCCAGCCCUGUGCCAAUCAGCCAGCGCGUUGGUAUACCUUCGUGCAGGACCAAGGGGCUGUGGCGGCCCCUCAGCGCGGCGGAGGCCGACCGCUGUGGGCGCUGUCCGAUAAACCGCUGGCUGUGAGGCCGUCGGCCAGGAUGCACGACUUCAGCACGCGGUGGUAGCCACUGCUCAAACGAGGACAGGACGCAGUCAACACGUGGUCGUCGGGGUGGUAGACCUCACUGAGCAGCCUGUAGACGUACGAUGGGGCGUGUCCACCGGCGCUCGUCACCAGUAGUGGGACGAGGUCCGGCGGCACGCAGUCAGAGGCUGGGUUGAGCAGGAGCGCUCCAGAGCGAGGCUCCGGGCCGAGGGGCUCCGGGGAUCCCAGCUGCUGGUAGGUGCUCUCCGAGCAGGGCAGCUGCGGACUCAGCGUGGCCCCCGGUGCGCACACCAGCAGCGGAACCGCGCAGUGUCGCGCGGCCAGGGCCAAGGCGUGGCUGCCGCAAGGAGCCUGUCGCGUACAACAGCAACCACAUAGCAUCCAUGCACUUCGAGGUGCGGUGAAUCGCCGCCGCCGCCAUCACCAUCAUCAUUAUCACAACUUAUUUACAUCUGCUGCAGGACAAAGACCUCUCACAGUGUUCUCCAGUUUACCCUAUCCUGUGUCCUGUGGGAGCUGAUUCCAUUUUAUCCUGACGAACUUCUUAACAAAACAAUGAGGUGGUCCUGACGAACUUCUUAACAGGACAAUGAGGUGGAACAACAAAUUAGUUUAGGCUGAGAAGCUAUGGUCUGCAAACUCGUGUCAUUGAUUUUACUAUGGUAGGAUCAGUUAUAACAAUCAAACCUCAAUAUAACAAACAUGGAUAAAACUGAUAUAUCGGCUAUAACGAAGUAAGUGAAAAAUAGUUUUGCAAUAGAUACAGUGCUAGGAAUAACUUUAUACAGCAAAUUUUUGGAUAUUACAAACUUAUUUUCUAGUAAAGUGCAACUUUGUUAUGAUGAGGUUUGAAGUGCAGUCAAGAAAG